rnacentral:rRNA from 1 species
UACAGAGGUCUCAAGCGUUGUUCGGAUUCAUUGGGCGUAAAGGGCGCGUAGGCGGCGGGGUAAGUCGGGUGUGAAAUCUCAGAGCUCAACUCUGAAACUGCACUCGAUACUGCUCUGCUUGAGGACUGGAGAGGAGACUGGAAUUCACGGUGUAGCAGUGAAAUGCGUAGAUAUCGUGAGGAAGACCAGUGGCGAAGGCGGGUCUCUGGACAGUUCCUGACGCUG